UUCAUUAUUUUCCUUGGUUAAAGAGUUAAAGCACAGAAUUUGUUAUUGUGAUAACUGGACGUCAAAAGCGUUUCAGUUUUCUGCAGUUAAGUAACGUGAGCUUUACACAGUGCAUUGAUUAUAGGCAUCUGGUUGUAUUCUUAUGUUCCUGUUCUCGUUUAGAAGUUCUCUGCAUUGAAAAGUGCCAAAUGCGACUAGGCUUAUACAAGUUUCGAGCAUGAAAGUAAAGCUUGAUUGAUAUGUUGCUGCUUGGCUGCCUAGACUUUCUUUUUUUGAAGUUUGUUGAUGGCUGUACAGAUGUGAAUCUUUUUUUGUUCAUUCUUCUCAUGAAUUCUGAUGUGCACUUACCGAUGAAAUAUGAACCCAAAAUCCUGUACACGAAUCUUGUCGUGGUCUGAAAUGGAAUUCAGUACAAAAAGAGUAAUUAUGUCAACUCUCUCUUCUGUUUGCUCAUCUCUUCUGCUGCUUUCCGCUGUGACGCUUGCUAUGCAAAGUUUACUUUCCUAAAUUCGUCCAUUAUUUGUUCCCCCCCACACAGUACGAAAAGUAAUUUUUCUUCAAUAAGUCUUUAGAAAGUGCAUAACCAAUUGAAAAAAAAAAAAAAAAUAUUGUACGGUGUUCCCUAUAGUCUAUCAGGUACAUUGAAAUAUUUUAUUUUUGUCAUGUUUCUCCCUCCCUCACAAAUAUACGCAUUUAGCAGGGGAAAUGUAAGCUAUUUUGAUAUUAUUUCAUAUUUGACUUUGAAUUGAAUAUUGUUUAUCAGUCAUUUGCUACAAGAGCUAGUUUAUCUACUGAUUUCAUGUGUUUUUAUGUUUAACAGUAUAGUUCAAUUAAAUAUGUUUAGAUAAAAUACCACUUUUGAAGGUAAAGAAAUUUUGAAGCUCCCUCAAAUGUCUUAAAUGCAUAAAUUCAUUCAAGAAUACAUGAAUUGUCAUAGGUUUACAUUAGUAUCUAAUCAAUGAUACCAUAUCAGAAUCAAGAAAAUGGUUUAGUUUUAUGUUCACAAUAUAAGGUUAAUUAUGAAGCUGAAUCGAUGCCAAAAUGAUUUGUCAAGAGAUGCUAUUUUAUUGCAAAUUCUUGGCAUUACAGAAACUUUUAUUGGUCUGUAUUAUGAGGCUUUUCCAUAAAAUAUAUGGCCCACCAGCGGCCGAGCGGUAAAGACGCUGAACACUGGUAGUUCGGUUCGAGGUUCGAAUCCCGCGAACGAGUUGGCUGCAUGGGCGUUUUCGUGGUUUUCCC